AUAGACUCCGGAGCCAGUAACUUGAACGUUGAACAAACACGAGGAGAGGAGGAAUUGAGUUGUAUCGAUAAUAUUAUUAAAAAUCUACUGUUGGAUGCUGUGAAGAGGUGGAGACCAAAUUCAGCUGAAUCAGAAAUUGAUGCGGCUAUGGCGGAACACUUGAAACAUGCUCCAGGAAGAGCUGGGGGUGGGGUUAUAACAAAUAACUUUUCUGGUGUAAAUGAUGUUGCAAAAAGAUGCUACACAAAGGGAGAUAUUUGUGACAGUGUUAUUGAACUGAACUAAAUUAACGGAAUUGAGCUAAAACUGAAUUUGUUUUGUAAUGAACACGUUUUUCCUGUUUCCCGGGUGAAUCUGUAUUGUAUAAACCGUAAAAUAAAUAAAUGUGAUUUGGAAUUUU